GUGCAGCAGGCGCGAAACCUUCACAAUGUGCGAAAGCGCGAUGAGGGGAUCCCAAGUGCUUGCUCGUAAGAGUAAGCUGUUUUUAUGUCUAAAACGCAUAGAGAGUAAGGGCUGGGUAAGACGGGUGCCAGCCGCCGCGGUAAUACCUGCAGCUCAAGUGGUGACCGCUAUUAUUGGGCCUAAAGCGCUCGUAGCCGGAUCAGCAAGUCCUUUGUGAAAUCGGACCGCCCAACGGUUCGGCGUGCAAAGGAUACUGUUGGUCUUGAGACCGGGAGAGGUCGGAGGUACUCUUGGGGUAGCGGUGAAAUGCUGUAAUCCUGGGGGGACCACCAGUGGCGAAGGCGUCCGACCAGAACGGAUCUGACGGUGAGGGGCGAAGGCUAGGGGAGCGAACGGGAUUAGAUACCCCCGUAGUCC
rnacentral:rRNA from 1 species